rnacentral:rRNA from 1 species
UUAAACUAAAGAGUUUGAUCCUGGCUCAGAUUGAACGCUGGCGGCAUGCCUUACACAUGCAAGUCGAACGGCAGCACGGAGCUUGCUCUGGUGGCGAGUGGCGAACGGGUGAGUAAUAUAUCGGAACGUACCCUGGAGUGGGGGAUAACGUAGCGAAAGUUACGCUAAUACCGCAUACGAUCUAAGGAUGAAAGCAGGGGACCGCAAGGCC